CCUGGCGGCUGUAGCGCGGUGGUCCCACCUGACCCCAUGCCGAACUCAGAAGUGAAACGCCGUAGCGCCGAUGGU
rnacentral:rRNA from 2 species